rnacentral:rRNA from 1 species
GGCGCACGGGUGCGUAACGCGUGGGAAUCUGCCCUUAGGUACGGAAUAACUCAGAGAAAUUUGUGCUAAUACCGUAUGAUGUCGAAAGACCAAAGAUUUAUCGCCUAAGGAUGAGCCCGCGUAAGAUUAGCUUGUUGGUGAGGUAAAAGCUCACCAAGGCGACGAUCUUUAGCUGGUCUGAGAGGAUGAUCAGCCACACUGGGACUGAGACACGGCCCAGACUCCUACGGGAGGCAGCAGUGGGGAAUAUUGGACAAUGGGCGAAAGCCUGAUCCAGCAAUGCCGCGUGAGUGAUGAAGGCCUUAGGGUUGUAAAGCUCUUUUACCAGGGAUGAUAAUGACAGUACCUGGAGAAUAAGCUCCGGCUAACUCCGUGCCAGCAGCCGCGGUAAUACGGAGGGAGCUAGCGUUGUUCGGAAUUACUGGGCGUAAAGAGUACGUAGGCGGUGAUUCAAGUCAGAAGUGAAAGCCUGGAGCUCAACUCCAGAACUGCCUUUGAAACUAGAUCGCUAGAAUUGUGGAGAGGUUAGUGGAAUUCCGAGUGUAGAGGUGAAAUUCGUAGAUAUUCGGAAGAACACCAGUGGCGAAGGCGACUAACUGGA